rnacentral:misc_RNA from 1 species
CAACCAACUUGUUAGAGAUCCCAAGAAACGAACACGCAUUUUGGCAAGUGAAAAAGUUCGAUGGAGUUUGCACACUGCCAGAUCACGAUUGGCUAGAAAGCGAAAGUAUUGUCAAUUUUUCACAAGAUUUGGGAAAUGCAACAAAGACGAUGGAAAAUGCCCUUACAUUCAUGAUUCCUCCAAAAUUGCUGUCUGCACAAAGUUUCUAAAUGGUUUAUGUUUUAAUUCAGACUGCAAAUUGACUCACAAGGUGAUUCCAGAAAGGAUGCCAGAUUGCUCUUACUAUUUGCAAGGUCUUUGCACCAAUAAAAAUUGCCCAUACAGGCAUGUGCAUGUGAAUCCAAAUGCAUUUACUUGUGAAGGAUUUUUGAGGGGAUAUUGUGCUGAUGGCAAUGAGUGUCGGAAGAAGCACAGCUA